CAUUCCGCAAGGAAGUAAGAUCCCUGAAAGAUGAUCAGGUUGAUAGGUCUGAGGUGGAAGUGUGGCGACACAUGGAGCUGACAGAUACUAAUCGAUCGAGGACUUAACCAC
rnacentral:rRNA from 1 species